rfam:Gossypium arboreum cultivar AKA8401 contig_3752_9, whole genome shotgun sequence.
UGUUAAAAAUUCUAUCUAUUUCUUCUGUUAAAAAUUGGUGUAGCUGAGAGAAUAACCAGACAAUUACAUGUAAUGUGUAACAUGUACCUUAUGCUGACAUACAAGGACCAAUUUUUAAUGGUAGAAAUUAAUGGAAUUUUUAACA